UGCAAUGGAUGUCUUGGCUCCUCACACGAUGAAGAACGUGGCAUAAUGUGUUAAGUAACCGGAGUUGCAAACAUCAUGACAGGUUAAUCUUUGAAUGCAAAUUGCGCUAAUCUAGUCGCUUAUCACAUUACGCAAUGGAUGUC
rnacentral:rRNA from 1 species